UUUAUACUGCUGUGACAAAGAGGACGCAAGUCAGGGUUGAUUAACUCAGUUUUAUUGUAAAUCAAUUAACAUAACUAACAAACAUAAAUGUGGCGUGUGAGUAGGUUCAGAAUCUGGAGUGUUUGAAUGAGUGACAGGUGAGAUGUGUGUUAGUGUUGUGUGCAGUCAAACCAAACCACGCAGACGCCUGGAGGUGCAGGAGAGACCUGCAAUCACUGAGGCGGAGCCAUUUAUGACCUCAUCCACCUGAACAGGUGCCGCCACUCUGCUCUGACGACCACUUCCUGUCUGCUGCCACCUGCUGAAACGAACCACAACAGAACCCAGAACAGAAGGGGGCGGAACACUGAAUUCAAUUCAAAACAGUGGCCUGUCCUGCUCUGCAGCCUAAACCAAGUCACCACUAUUAAUGCGUGUAUGAGACCAGUUAAACCAAGGGUGAGGAGGGCUGAUGGUGAGCAAAACCAUGCUGCAGAGGGUGAUGAGGGCGGUGACGGAGGACACAGGCAGGAGGUUCAGAGCAGAGGACGAGCUGCUGUAUGGACAGAGGGAGACCUACAGUGAGAUGAAGCUUCCAAACGGCAGCACAGAGGAAGCAGCGAUCCACUCACUUCCUCUGUGUGGUUGGGAUCCGGAGGCUCCUCUUCGUCUCCUCUGGAGGCUGGAGGCAUCAGAGAGGUAAAUCACUGUUCAGGUGAUGACCUACUGCACCGAGCCUCUGGAAACACAUGGAAUGACUCUCUCCAGGUCCUAUGGUCAUCACCUGGUCUCUGUCGUCAAGGAAACCCUGGAUGAGGUUCUC